AACGAACGCUGGCGGCAGGCCUAACACAUGCAAGUCGAGCGCCCCGCAAGGGGAGCGGCGGACGGGUGAGUAACACGUGGGAAUUUUCCCCAAGGUACGGAACAACUCAGGGAAACUUGGGCUAAUACCGUAUGAUGCAGAGAUGCCAAAGAUUUAUCGCCUUGGGAUAAGCCCGCGUCAGAUUAGGUAGUUGGUGAGGUAACGGCUCACCAAGCCUGUGGUCUGUAGCUGGUCUGAGAGGACGAUCAGCCACAUUGGGACUGAGACACGGCCCAAACUCCUACGGGAGGCAGCAGUGGGGAAUCUUGCGCAAUGGGCGAAAGCCUGACGCAGCCAUGCCGCGUGAAUGAUGAAGGUCUUAGGAUUGUAAAGUUCUUUCGCUCGUGACGAUGAUGACGGUAACGAGAGAAGAAGCCCCGGCUAACUUCGUGCCAGCCGCCGCUGUAACAC
rnacentral:rRNA from 1 species